GGGGAAUUUUCCGCAAUGGGCGAAAGCCUGACGGAGCAAGACCGCGUGGGGGAUGAAGGUUUGUGGAUUGUAAACCCCUUUUGAUUGGGAAGAAUACUGACGGUACCAAUCGAAUAAGCCUCGGCUAACUCCGUGCCAGCAGCCGCGGUAAUACGGAGGAGGCAAGCGUUAUCCGGAAUUAUUGGGCGUAAAGCGUCCGUAGGUGGUUUAGUAAGUCUGCUGUUAAAGCGCGGGGCUUAACUCCGUAUCGGCAGUGGAAACUACUAGACUAGAGUGUGGUAGGGGUAGAGGGAAUUCCCAGUGUAGCGGUGAAAUGCGUAGAUAUUGGGAAGAACACCGGUGGCGAAAGCGCNACUACUGGGCCAUAACUGACACUGAUGGACGAAAGCUACGGGGAGCGAAAGGGAUUAGAUACCCCUGUAGUC
rnacentral:rRNA from 1 species